UACGAAGGGGGGCUAGCGUUGCUCGGAAUUACUGGGCGUAAAGGGCGCGUAGGCGGACAGUUUAGUCAGAGGUGAAAGCCCAGGGCUCAACCUUGGAAUUGCCUUUGAUACUGGCUGUCUUGAGUACGGGAGAGGUGAGUGGAACUCCGAGUGUAGAGGUGAAAUUCGUAGAUAUUCGGAAGAACACCAGUGGCGAAGGCGACUCACUGGCCCGUUACUGACGCUGAGGCGCGAAAGCGUGGGGAGCAAACAGGG
rnacentral:rRNA from 1 species